UACGUAGGGGGCGAGCGUUGUCCGGAUUCAUUGGGCGUAAAGAGCUCGUAGGCGGCUUGGCAAGUCGGAUGUGAAAACUCCAGGCUCAACCUGGAGCCGCCAUUCGAUACUGCUAUGGCUAGAGUCCGGUAGGGGAGUGUGGAAUUCCCGGUGUAGCGGUGAAAUGCGCAGAUAUCGGGAGGAAGACCAGUGGCGAAGGCGGGUCUCUGGACAGUUCCUGACGCUGAGGCACGAAGGUCAGGGGAGCAAACGGG
rnacentral:rRNA from 1 species